rnacentral:ribozyme from 11 species
CAAAAAACCUUAGAUUCCUUUGUCCUCUUUUUCUUUUUUCCCUCUUUUUUUCUUUUUCCCUUUUUGAAUUUGGUCUUUUGAUUUUAGAGAAAAGAAAACCAAAAUAGAUUACUGUAUGCCUCAACUUGAUGUUGUAUUGAAAAGCGAGAGUAAAAUGAUGACAAAGUCGAAUUCUAUCGUUUUCU